UGAUUUUGAAACCGCUAGA
rnacentral:misc_RNA from 1 species